CGGGAGGCAGCAGUGGGGAAUAUUGCACAAUGGGGGAAACCCUGAUGCAGCCAUGCCGCGUGUGUGAAGAAGGCCUUCGGGUUGUAAAGCACUUUCAGUAGGGAGGAAGGUAGUGUAGUUAACACCUGCAUUAUUUGACGUUACCUACAGAAGAAGCACCGGCUAACUCCGUGCCAGCAGCCGCGGUAAUACGGAGGGUGCGAGCGUUAAUCGGAAUUACUGGGCGUAAAGCGCAUGCAGGCGGCCUGUUAAGUCAGAUGUGAAAGCCCGGGGCUUAACCUCGGAAUUGCAUUUGAAACUGGCAGGCUAGAGUCUUGUAGAGGGGGUAGAAUUUCAGGUGUAGCGGUGAAAAUGCGUAGAGAUCUGAAGGAAUACCAGUGGCGAAGGCGGCCCCCUGGACAAAGACUGACGCUCAGAUGCGAAAGCGUGGGGAGCAAACAGGAUUAGAUACCCUGGUAG
rnacentral:rRNA from 1 species